rnacentral:lncRNA from 1 species
CUGUAGACAGGAGCUGUUCCUAUUCGGCCAUCUUGGCUCCUCUCGAUAAUUGCUUUCAUGUGAACCCUUCAUAAGGUAAAAUCAAAUCCCUAUUAGGAUAAAUGAUUGAGUGUUCCUGUAAAGAAUUGUUCCCCUGGUUCAAGCAACCAGAUUUCAUUCCCAGAUGAUCAAAAAUGGACUUGAUGAAAUGGAAAAGCACUGAUAGAAACAGCCGUCGAUAUAUAGCUAAGGAUGAUAACAAGCACAACAAGGACUUACAGCAUUUGCUUUGCACCAGACACCAUCUAAAACACUUCACAAAUAUUAACUCAAAGGAACCUAUCAUUUCCACUGCUCAAAAUUACUCCUGAAGGGAUGAGGACACCAGGAUAUGCCACCGGACCACUGAAGAGAUUGCUGUUUUCUGCCCCAGGCCUGUGCCAUGAGGGACACUUUCUCAGGACUCUUGCCAAUCUUUUCUGAGAGUACCUGGUGAGCUCUGUUGUGAAUUGCCUUUAUAGGUGCCCGCGAUGGCCGACAAUGAUGCAAAAUAGUACUUUGAGCAAAAUUUGCUCCUGAUUCUGUAGAAAUCUCAGAUGGACAAAUAAUCAACUUCUCAUAUAUUUAUCUGAACAUUUUACCCUGUCACCUAGAAUUUCUGUGAAUUCUAGAAUAUUUAAAUAAAAGUGGUUUCUUGUCAAUGAAAGAAGUUUGCAUUUAAAGCUCAAAAUAUUGCUGUCUAGAUGUGUCCUCUACUUCUCCCUGAUAAUAACAG